rnacentral:rRNA from 1 species
UACGGGGGGGGCAAGCGUUGUCCGGAUUUAUUGGGCGUAAAGAGCGUGUAGGCGGCCAGACAGGUCAGCUGUGAAAACUCGAGGCUCAACCUCGAGACGUCGGUUGAAACCAUCUAACUAGAGUCCGGAAGAGGAGAGUGGAAUUCCUGGUGUAGCGGUGAAAUGCGCAGAUAUCGGGAGGAACACCAGUGGCGAAGGCGAGUCUCUGGGAUGAUGCUGACGCUGAGGCGCGAAAGCCAGGGGAGCAAACGGG